CCUGCCUGGCGCCUCUCUCUCUCUCUUAUAGGUGCGGGCGGUGCUGCCUGUGGAGGAGGGCGCAGCUGUGUACCACUGUGAGGCGCAGCUGGACGGCAGAACCAUUGUGACUCACUGCUUGGAGAAGAACAAGGCAGAGAAGGUGUACAAGGAGGCUUUGAAAGAGGGGAAGACUGCCCUCAUGACACGAGAAGACCCUGACUCAAGCGACAUUCUCACGCUUAACCUCGGCAACUUUCCUGCGGGAACGAGGGCCAAGGUCACCCUUCGUCUGGUGAUGGAGUUGAGGGUUGAGACAGACGGCAUCAUCAGCUUUGUUUUGCCCACAGUACUCAACCCGCGCUACACCCCUGCUGACCACCCUCGCAGGCAAGGUAGGUCAGCUGAGGUCACAGGUCGUGUCAGCUCAAGGGAGUGUGUGGUGGGUUUGAAAUGCACUAAAACACUUGUAGUUGUUAUUGAUUGUUAUAUUCCAGAUUAUACCAGAUUGGUUUGGGGCGAGGAGAAUUCGCUGAAACACUUAGAAUGCAUUCACUUUUUAUUUUUCUAUUACCUACACUAGCAAAACACAUGUAAUUGUUAUUUUCCAUUACCUAAAGCUUCAAAACAUGUAAUUGUUAUUUUUCUAUGAUUUACCUCAACAAAACACAUGUAAUUGUUAUUUUCCAUUACCUAAAGCUUCAAAACAUGUAAUUGUUACUUUUCUAUUACUUACCUCAACAAAACACAUGUAAUUGUUAUUUUCCAUUACCUAAAGCUUCGAAACACAUGUACAGUGGAACCUUGGUUUUUUAACUUAAUUCGUCUAUGAAAGCUGUUCUAACUCGGAAAUGUUCAGAAAUCAAAACUAUUUUCCCCACAGGAAUCAAAGUAAAAAUGGAUUAAUCCGUUCCCGCACACCGUCGCAGC